ACGUACUUUUUGAAAAUCCCAAGUGUCCAGAAAAGGUACAAUCUGAAAAUAAAAUUUAAUAGAAUAUUUCAAAAAACAAGGUAAUCCAACCGCAAGAAAUAUUACUGGAAUGUAACAUGCAGUUAUCAUCGUCAAAAAAAAGAUUUUUGUUAAAGCCAUGAAAUCUAAUUGGCAAAUAUCGGAAUAAAACUGUGUUAGCAAACGAUAGAGCAACAGCCAUU
ensembl:ncRNA K02A2.10 ncRNA